rfam:Oryza glumipatula chromosome 4, whole genome shotgun sequence.
UUGUUGCGAGGAUGAAUUAUGAACAAACUUCGCAUGUCAGACUUCGGAGAUGCUUCAAAGCAUCCAUGAGAAGACAUGUCAUACGACUGAGCAAUGC